rnacentral:rRNA from 1 species
GUCCACGCCGUAAACGAUGAGUACUAGCUGUCGGAGGUUACCCCCUUCGGUGGCGCAGCUAACGCAUUAAGUACUCCGCCUGGGAAUUACGCUCGCAAGAGUGAAACUCAAAGGAAUUGACGGGGACCCUCACAAGUAGCGGAGCAUGUGGUUUAAUUCUAAGCAACGCGAAGAACCUUACCUAAGCUUGACAUCCUUCUGACCUCUCCCUAAUCGGAGAUUUCCCUUCGGGGACAGAAGUGACAGGUGGUGCAUGGUUGUCGU